GCUGGUUGCCUGUGAACGAAUUUAAGUUCUCCCUUAAUUUUACCUCAAAGACUCGAACUACUUCCCCGUAGCAAAUUAAGAGUAAUUUAAAGGAGGUACAGCUCCUUUAAAAAAGAAUACAACCUCCCCCAGAGGAUAAGUACUUAACCUAACAAAAUUACUUGUAGGCCUUUAAGCAGCCAUCAACAAAGAAUGCGUCAAAGCUCUUCACCUUAAAAAUCCAAAAACAUAUACGACUCCCUCAUCCACAACAGGCUAACCUAUCAAAAUAGGAGUAUCAAUGCUAAAAUAAGUAACUAAGGAACACCCCUCUAAAGCACAAACUUACAUCCCACAUUAUUAACAGACUACUAAUACCACAACCACUACAAGACUAAAUAUUGAACAACUCUGUUAAACCGACCCAGGAGUGCUAAACUAGAGAGAUUUAAACCUGUAAAAGGAACUAGGCAAACCCAAGGCCCGACUGUUUACCAAAAACAUAGCCUUCAGCAAAACAAGUAUUGAAGGUGAUGCCUGCCCAGUGACACUAAGUUUAACGGCCGCGGUAUCCUAACCGUGCAAAGGUAGCGCAAUCAAUUGUCCCAUAAAUCGAGACUUGUAUGAAUGGCCAAACGAGGUCUUAACUGUCUCUUUCAGGUAAUCAGUGAAAUUGAUCUCCCUGUGCAAAAGCAGGGAUAAACCCAUAAGACGAGAAGACCCUGUGGAACUUAAAAAUCAACAGCCACUCUAAACUAAAUCAAAACCUACAGGCCCACUAUUAAUAGAUACUGACUUACAUUUUUCGGUUGGGGCGACCUUGGAGAAAAGUAUAUCCUCCAAAAACAGGACCACCUAUCCUGACCAAGAUCAACCAUUCAACGUGCUAACAGCAACCAGACCCAGCAUAGCUGAUCAAUGAACCAAGCUACCCCAGGGAUAACAGCGCAAUCCCCUUCAAGAGCCCAUAUCGACAAGGGGGUUUAC
rnacentral:rRNA from 1 species